GGUGCUUGCAUCAUGAUUUACAUUUGAGUGAGUGGCGAACUGGUGAGUAACACGUGGGAAACCUGCCCAGAAGCGGGGGAUAACACCUGGAAACAGAUGCUAAUACCGCAUAACAACUUGGACCGCAUGGUCCGAGCUUGAAAGAUGGCUUCGGCUAUCACUUUUGGAUGGUCCCGCGGCGUAUUAGCUAGAUGGUGGGGUAACGGCUCACCAUGGCAAUGAUACGUAGCCGACCUGAGAGGGUAAUCGGCCACAUUGGGACUGAGACACGGCCCAAACUCCUACGGGAGGCAGCAGUAGGGAAUCUUCCACAAUGGACGAAAGUCUGAUGGAGCAACGCCGCGUGAGUGAAGAAGGGUUUCGGCUCGUAAAACUCUGUUGUUAAAGAAGAACAUAUCUGAGAGUAACUGUUCAGGUAUUGACGGUAUUUAACCAGAAAGCCACGGCUAACUACGUGCCAGCAGCCGCGGUAAUACGUAGGUGGCAAGCGUUGUCCGGAUUUAUUGGGCGUAAAGCGAGCGCAGGCGGUUUUUUAAGUCUGAUGUGAAAGCCUUCGGCUCAACCGAAGAAGUGCAUCGGAAACUGGGAAACUUGAGUGCAGAAGAGGACAGUGGAACUCCAUGUGUAGCGGUGAAAUGCGUAGAUAUAUGGAAGAACACCAGUGGCGAAGGCGGCUGUCUGGUCUGUAACUGACGCUGAGGCUCGAAAGUAUGGGUAGCAAACAGGAUUAGAUACCCUGGUAGUCCAUACCGUAAACGAUGAAUGCUAAGUGUUGGAGGGUUUCCGCCCUUCAGUGCUGCAGCUAACGCAUUAAGCAUUCCGCCUGGGGAGUACGGCCGCAAGGCUGAAACUCAAAGGAAUUGACGGGGGCCCGCACAAGCGGUGGAGCAUGUGGUUUAAUUCGAAGCUACGCGAAGAACCUUACCAGGUCUUGACAUACUAUGCAAAUCUAAGAGAUUAGACGUUCCCUUCGGGGACAUGGAUACAGGUGGUGCAUGGUUGUCGUCAGCUCGUGUCGUGAGAUGUUGGGUUAAGUCCCGCAACGAGCGCAACCCUUAUUAUCAGUUGCCAGCAUUAAGUUGGGCACUCUGGUGAGACUGCCGGUGACAAACCGGAGGAAGGUGGGGAUGACGUCAAAUCAUCAUGCCCCUUAUGACCUGGGCUACACACGUGCUACAAUGGAUGGUACAACGAGUUGCGAACUCGCGAGAGUAAGCUAAUCUCUUAAAGCCAUUCUCAGUUCGGAUUGUAGGCUGCAACUCGCCUACAUGAAGUCGGAAUCGCUAGUAAUCGCGGAUCAGCAUGCCGCGGUGAAUACGUUCCCGGGCCUUGUACACACCGCCCGUCACACCAUGAGAGUUUGUAACACCCAA
rnacentral:rRNA from 1 species